rnacentral:tRNA from 1 species
GCAUAGGUGCCAGAUGAUAUGGGUUGGUUUUAAGCGUCAAAUAUGGGGUUUCCUCUCUAUGUG